rnacentral:rRNA from 1 species
AGGACGAACGCUGGCGGCGUGCUUAACACAUGCAAGUCGAGCGGAAAGGCCCUUCGGGGUACUCGAGCGGCGAACGGGUGAGUAACACGUGAGUAACCUGCCCCUAGCUCUGGGAUAGCUCCGGGAAACCGGGAUUAAUACCAGAUACGACCACUUUAGACAUCUGUCGUGGUGGAAAGGAUUCCGGCUAGGGAUGGGCUCGCGGCCUAUCAGCUUGUUGGUGGGUAACGGCCUACCGAAGGCGACGACGGGUA